UACGUAGGGGGCGAGCGUUGUCCGGAAUCAUUGGGCGUAAAGCGCGUGUAGGCGGUUCAGUAAGUCUGCUGUGAAAGUCCAGGGCUCAACCCUGGGAUGCCGGUGGAUACUGCUGAACUAGAGUGCGGAAGAGGCGAGUGGAAUUCCCGGUGUAGCGGUGAAAUGCGCAGAUAUCGGGAGGAACACCAAUUGCGAAGGCAGCUCGCUGGGACGUUACUGACGCUGAGACGCGAAAGCGUGGGGAGCAAACAGG
rnacentral:rRNA from 1 species